rnacentral:lncRNA from 1 species
ACAUGUCAAUGUAAGUACUCAAAUUACAUGAUCAUGCCUUAGCAAGUACUGAAUUCACCAAAAUAACAAUGUUGGUACUCAAACAGUUUAGACAAACAUGAUUUUAUCAUUAGGCCAAGCCACAAUACUACCUACUGCAUCGGCAAUGGUUUGAAUUUCAGAGUUUGGUCUCCACACAGCUGCAUCUCCAACCUUUGACACUUCUACCCAAACCUUGCUCGCAUUGGCACCAAGAGGCAUAUGAUGGACUGUGUCAGAUGGAUUAGAUGGACAUACUCUUCCUUCUGCUACUUUUUCUCUGGAGUUUUUGCAAUCUAACAAGAUGCAUUUCUUCUUGACUGAUUUGCUUGUGCUACCAGUGCUGUUACUUAAGCUC